rnacentral:tRNA from 1 species
GCUCUAGUGGCGCAAUAGGUUAGCGCGCGGUACUUAUAAUGCCGAGGUUGUGAGUUCGAUCCUCACCUAGAGCA